AUUGAACGCUGGCGGCAGGCCUAACGCAUGCAAGUCGAACGGUAACAGGAAGAAGCUUGCUUCUUUGCUGACGAGUGGCGGACGGGUGAGUAAUGUCUGGGAAACUGCCUGAUGGAGGGGGAUAACUACUGGAAACGGUAGCUAAUACCGCAUAACGUCGCAAGACCAAAGAGGGGGACCUUCGGGCCUCUUGCCAUCGGAUGUGCCCAGAUGGGAUUAGCUAGUAGGUGGGGUAACGGCUCACCUAGGCGACGAUCCCUAGCUGGUCUGAGAGGAUGACCAGCCACACUGAAACUGAGACACGGUCCAGACUCCUACGGGAGGCAGCAGUGGGGAAUAUUGCACAAUGGGCGCAAGCCUGAUGCAGCCAUGCCGCGUGUAUGAAGAAGGCCUUCGGGUUGUAAAGUACUUUCAGCGGGGAGGAAGGGAGUAAAGUUAAUACCUUUGCUCAUUGACGUUACCCGCAGAAGAAGCACCGGCUAACUCCGUG
rnacentral:rRNA from 1 species